GACGAACGCUGGCGGCGUGCUUAACACAUGCAAGUCGAGCGGAAAGGCCCUUUCGGGGGUACUCGAGCGGCGAACGGGUGAGUAACACGUGAGUAAUCUGCCCUGUGCUCUGGGAUAGCCACCGGAAACGGUGAUUAAUACCGGAUAUGACCGGCUACUGCAUGGUGGUUGGUGGAAAGUUUUUUCGGCAUGGGAUGUGCUCGCGGCCUCUCAGCUUGUUGGUGAGGUAAUGGCUCACCAAGGCUUUGACGGGUAGCCGGCCUGAGAGGGUGACCGGUCACACUGGGACUGAGACACGGCCCAGACUCCUACGGGAGGCAGCAGUGGGGAAUAUUGGACAAUGGGCGGAAGCCUGAUCCAGCAACGCCGCGUGAGGGAUGACGGCCUUCGGGUUGUAAACCUCUUUCAGCACAGACGAAGCGCAGGUGACGGUAUGUGCAGAAGAAGGACCGGCCAACUACGUGCCAGCCGCCGCGUAACAC
rnacentral:rRNA from 1 species